rnacentral:misc_RNA from 1 species
UCCGGUUUGGCACCGGCAGUCCCCCGAGAGUCCUCAGCAGCUUGCGCUCUGUUAGCAACACGGGGCGGGGGUUGCGCUCGUUGCGGGACUUAACCCAACAUCUCACGACACGAGCUGACGACAGCCAUGCAGCACCUGUGCACGGGCUCCGAAGAGGGGCCGGUGUUUCCACCAGCUUUCCCGUGCAUGUCAAGCCUAGGUAAGGUUCUGCGCGUUGCGUCGAAUUAAACCACAUGCUCCACCGCUUGUGCGGGCCCCCGUCAAUUCCUUUGAGUUUCAGCCUUGCGGCCGUACUCCCCAGGCGGGGCACUUCAUGCGUUAGCGCCGGUACUCCAAGGGUCGCUCCCCCAGGCACCUAGUACCCAUCGUUUACGGCGUGGACUAC